UAGAGGAGUUCUACCACGGAUC
rnacentral:siRNA from 1 species